UAUGGCAGGGCUAAUCAAACAGGCGGAAUUAUUUGAAAAAGAAAGAAAUUAAAAGUCAGUUUAAUACUACAUAGCCAUAUAUAUUACUGAAUUAAGAAUAUUUUAAUAAUUUAGAAUGGGACUCAGUGAAAUUGUCUUGCGAUUGAGUGUAGAAUGACGAACUGCUUAGUUUGUGAUUUAAUUCAUAAUACAUAGCGACUGAACAGUUUGCUCGGUGAAACUCUAGCGAUGGAUUAAAUAUAUGUAAAUAAGCCUUUAAUCAGUUUGCAGAAAUGACAGGACAUCGACCACUGGUAUUACGACAUAAUUCCCUUAUGGCACCUUUGUGCACGAUCCCUUUGCAAUAAUAGGAAUUUAAAGCUGCAGGCUGCGGAUGCUUCAGGAGUCAUUCAGAAAUGUAUGACGUCUGGACUAGUGUCUCCUGCAUACAUCUUUGCGCAGAACAGAUUACUGAAGCCCUUAUAAGGAUGUUUCAAACAGAAAGAGGAAGAGGAAGAGAGACUACUUCAAGUCUUACAGCCACAGCAUGUGAUUUGAAAUUUGAAAGGAAGUCGCAGGAGCGUGUAUCAGAAAGGAAAUAUAAAGUAACCUUUCCCAGGUAUUUUCCAAUGUUUCAGUCCCACUUCAGCUCUCGGAGUGAUUCAGAACUCAGUGGUUUGAAUUUGAACAGAAGCUGUCUAAUUACUGGACAGUAUAACAUUAUAAGGCAAGGAGCUCUCACUAAGAGAGCUAAAAUGCAACUCAGCUUCUACAUAGUGUUCCAUAUAAGCUCUCUGAUUGUACAUACUAAAUAAGAAAAAGAGGGUGGUCUCUCACGUGGCUGUCAUUUCAGGAAUGUAUAUGUGUCAGAACAUGCACAAAUUCAGGCACACACAUUUAAGAAAAAGAUUUUAGUUUUACUUUUCACAUUCCUGCAUACAUGAAUGCAAUCGUGUCAUUCAGAUUCUCAAUAUUAGCUCUAUCCCAUGAAGACAAUUAAAUGAGUUGGUUUAAAAAAACAUUAUGUGAUGGAAAAUAUGUUUAAUUAUUACUUAUGUUGUGUGUACUGCAAUGCAUUAUUUUAGAGAAUUGUAUUUCCUCAUUUUAUGAUGUGGCUUUAAAAAAUAUAUAAAAGAAUAAAUUAAUUUAAAAAAUAA